AGAGUUUGAUCCUGGCUCAGGAUGAACGUUUGGCGGCGCGCCUAACACGUGCAAGUCGAACGGCACCCAUCUUCGGAUGGAAGCGAGUGGCGAACGGCUGAGUAACACGUGGAGAACCUGCCCCCUCCCCCGGGAUAGCCGCCCGAAAGGACGGGUAAUACCGGAUACCCCGGGGUGCCGCAUGGCACCCCGGCUAAAGCCCCGACGGGAGGGGAUGGCUCCGCGGCCCAUCAGGUAGACGGCGGGGUGACGGCCCACCGUACCGACAACGGGUAGCCGGGUUGAGAGACCGACCGGCCAGAUUGGGACUGAGACACGGCCCAGACUCCUACGGGAGGCAGCAGUGGGGAAUCUUGCGCAAUGGGGGGAACCCUGACGCAGCGACGCCGCGUGCGGGACGGAGGCCUUCGGGUCGUAAACCGCUUUCAGCAGGGAAGAGUCAAGACUGUACCUGCAGAAGAAGCCCCGGCUAACUACGUGCCAGCAGCCGCGGUAAUACGUAGGGGGCGAGCGUUAUCCGGAUUCAUUGGGCGUAAAGCGCGCGUAGGCGGCCCGGCAGGCCGGGGGUCGAAGCGGGGGGCUCAACCCCCCGAAGCCCCCGGAACCUCCGCGGCUUGGGUCCGGUAGGGGAGGGUGGAACACCCGGUGUAGCGGUGGAAUGCGCAGAUAUCGGGUGGAACACCGGUGGCGAAGGCGGCCCUCUGGGCCGAGACCGACGCUGAGGCGCGAAAGCUGGGGGAGCGAACAGGAUUAGAUACCCUGGUAGUCCCAGCCGUAAACGAUGGACGCUAGGUGUGGGGGGACGAUCCCCCCGUGCCGCAGCCAACGCAUUAAGCGUCCCGCCCUGGGGAGUA
rnacentral:rRNA from 1 species